AGUUAAUUAGCUCACAAAAGCAAUAUAAUUUGAAAUUAUAUCAUUAGAAAAUACAUUUUCUAUUAACUU
rnacentral:tRNA from 1 species